UAAUGACUUUCUGUCAUUCACAGCGUAUGUUCAAAGGGUUAUAAAGUGUGGAAGAUGAGAAGUGUCUAGUAUCUUUGAAAGGCAAAUGUGUGUAUAAUUUCAAAGUUUAGAACAAAUAUUACCUAUGGAGCCAAAAUGACAUCUGCUAAAUAAAUCUACAAAAUGCUAGUAAAAUUAUGCCAAACACUGUUCUUUACAAGAAAAUUAAAUACUGACUAGAAUUUUAAGUAGUGUUUUGUUUAAUAAAAUUGCAGUGUCAUAAGUUAUUA
rnacentral:lncRNA from 1 species